GGUUGUGUAGCUCACUGGUAGAGCACAUAUUUAAUAUGCAGAGAGUCCUGGGUUCGAUCCCCAGUACCUCCA
rnacentral:tRNA from 1 species